GGGGAUUUAGCUCAGUGGUAGAGCACUUGCCUACCAAGCACAAGGCCCUGGGUUCAGUCCUCA
rnacentral:tRNA from 1 species